rnacentral:rRNA from 1 species
GUGGAUUAGAUACCCUAGUAGUCCACGCCCUAAACUAUGUCAACUGGUUGUCGGGGGAUUAACUCCCUUGGUAACGAAGCUAACGCGUGAAGUUGACCGCCUGGGGAGUACGGCCGCAAGGUUAAAACUCAAAGGAAUUGACGGGGACCCGCACAAGCGGUGGAUUAUGUGGAUUAAUUCGAUGCAACGCGAAAAACCUUACCUACCCUUGACAUGUACGGAAUCUCCCAGAGAUGGGAGAGUGCCCGAAAGGGAACCGUAACACAGGUGCUGCACGGCCGUCGCCAACU